UUGGGCAAGACAGAUUGGAGGGAAGACGCCAAGUUCCAGGAAAGGUCCUGAGAAUUAAUGCUUGACCGACUCUGGGUACUGGAAGGAGAAGGGAGAGCGGUGGGAGAUGGGGCAGGGAGGCGGUGAGAGCAGCCAGAUCCUGCGGGACAGAGGAAGGAUGUUGUUGGAUACACACUUCAGAAAGGCUAUUCUAGCAGGCAGGAGAGAGCGUGCGCCUGGACUGGAGGCGGGGCCCGUGGAGGCCCCGGAUGUAGAGAUGUACGCAGCCGCAAUUGGACUUUCUCCACGCACCCACCUCUGAUAUCCUGGUGAACGGCUGCUGCGGGGGUUUUGGAAACGAUGAAAUGGAGGUGAAGGAGCGGUAGGGGCUACGGCGAGGCCUCGAAUCUGCUUUUCCUGGCACCAGACAGCCCGGUAUCCGACCCGAUGGCAAGACAGGGCUCCACCUGCAAGCACGUCCCGAAUCCCCUAUCUGCCCUCUCCACGUCCCCACCCUGGCCUGGACCCCACCCAGCUCCACGCAUCACAACUGCCUCUGCACUUCGACACCUUUUCGCCACUCUGCGCUAGAGGGAGCUUUCCAGAGCCCACCGGAGCUCAUCACUCCUCUCUCAGGGCUCCCCGACUGCACCUCCUGCACCCCGGGCUGAUGGGACCCCCGCUCCCUGCUGAUAGCCUCUCCUCUUCUGCACCUGGCCGUGCGCCUUGGUUCUCCUGACCCCCAAGUCCCUUCCUGUCUCAGGGCCUUUGCACUACCUGUUCAUGCCCCUGAAAAGUUCUGUCCCCUAUCUUUAUGUGACUGGCUUGUCUGUGUCAUUCAGCUAAAAUGCCAUUUUUCCUCCCAACAAAGACCUACCCUGACCAACCAGUCUAAAGUAAGUACUCCUUAUUGCUUCCCCAGAUUUAUUUUCUUGAUAGCACUUACCAUCCUCUGAAAUUUUCUUGUCUAUUUUCUUGCUUACUGGGUGUCAGAAUUCAGUGUGAGCUCCAUGAGAAAGGGACUUAUCUCCUUAGCAGUACAAUAAAGUUCAGCACAUAGUUUUUAUUCAAUAUAUAAAAUGUAAUGAAUGAGUGAACCGAUGGUAAAGGAGAGGCUGAUGGUGGUGGUGCUGGUGGUUGUUGGCGGUGGCAGCAGUGGCAGCGGAGGGAGGGAGAGGAGAUGGUGGAGGUGAUGAUGAUGCAGAGGAGGAGGAAGUGGCGAGGGUCUUAGGGAGGAUGAUCCUGGCCACGCAGAUGUCUUUGCUCUGUGGCUAACGGGUGCCCUUUGCAUCUCAAGAGCUGCAUAUUCAGAGAAGAGAUUUGGCGUACGCUGCCUUCUGGGCUACCUUUGAGCAUUUCUCAGUCUGCAGAACACCCCAGAGCCCCAGCCAUGAAGCCUAGCCUUCCUUCCCUGUUUAAUAUUCAGCUUAAACUUUACAUACCCUGUUUAAACA